GUUACAAUCCAGCGCAAUGACGACACUAACUUUAGGGUUAGCUUGUUGCUAAAGUAGAAGCUAACGGACGGAACUUGUGUCGAAGAAGUUUGUGAAAUAUCACAGCUUAUGGAUGUCGUCUGGUUCUGGAUCAGAGGACACAGACAUGAGAGAGACGCAUGGACGUCGUCCUGCAUCCGGAUCCAGCCCAGGGUCAAAGGUCAGGACGGACAGGAACCUGCUUUACAUCCACAGACGUUCACACUGUGUCUCCUGUGUUUACCAGCUGCUGUUUGACUUCAUUUCCCAGAGGCAAACGUGUUCAAUCACUGUUUCCUUCUUUUUCUGGGAGCUUUGACACAAGCAGCAAUGAACCGUUAAUAGGUUCAUUAGGACGUCACAGCUGAUUCAGACACUUGUUGUUCUUCAUGGUUCCUGAUAAACCAGUUCAGAGGGGGACCUUGUAGACCACAUUAGACCCUGAUCAGACCUGAGGAUGUUUCCUGGAUCGUCUCUGAUUGGCUCAAUGAAAACCACAUGACCUCCUUUUCAUCUUCCGUACUUUUAUUCAACUUUUAAUUAUUACAUUUAGUCAAAUUGACACAACAUUCAUUUAAUACGUAGAAAAUUUAUUUUCUCAAACUUCAAAAUUAAAUGUUCAGAAGCAGUCGGCAAAGAAACUCUUUAUUAUUCAGAUCCCCACAUUAACCCCCCCGUCCCGUCCGGCUGAUCCAGCA